GCCCGUUAAUGUCAAUAUCAAGGCUUGUUUCUGAAAACAUUCACAGAUGCCUCCUAAUAGCUUUCGCCCAACCAGUCUUGAGAGCUAAUGUUGUUACAUUCUUCUUGGAUGUCUGAGGCC